rnacentral:lncRNA from 1 species
CCUUUUUUUUUACCUCCCUUUUACAUUUCCAUCACAUAAUAAUUUAUCUUCUUUUUUAUUUCUCUGUCUCCGUUUCUCGGAUCUACGUUCACCCUGUUACGGUGUGAAAACAUAUAUUUCCAUUAACAUCAUGGUAAAGUAUUUAUCUUCUAAAUCUAAUCCACUUUUGCAUGUCACCGUUAAAAUAUCAUGAUUAUUAUUUGAUUGUUACGUAUAUAUUCUUGAUUUGACAACAAAAUUCAUGUUAUAAACAUUCUUUAAUCUCUACUGGAGUAUAAUAUAUUUUGUUAAGCUUUUCGUGUACAAUUUUUAUUUAUUGGAUUUCGUUUAUGGUUCAGAUAUGGACUGACAGACCCAUACACGUCUUUUUGUAGGAUCUAAGCAGAAAGUUUGAAAACAUAAAAAGCCAUGAACGGAACGAAGCACUUCACAAAUAUAGAAUAAGAGGAAACUUUUCAUAUAUUUCAUCAGUGUUUAACUAGUGUUUAAAUUGUAUUUUCUUUAUUUAUUUUUAUUGUACGUGUUCUUAUUGUGUUGAACAAUUGUAAGGCACUUGUCCAUCCAAGUACUUCCAGUUGCCUGCAUGCAAUGUAAUUUUCAAAGUUGUGUCUGUUCGCAUAUCAUGCUGACAAGGCAACAUAUUUAAAAUAACAGAUUCGCUAAAUAGGAAGAAUAACU